rnacentral:rRNA from 1 species
GACGAACGCUGGCGGCCCUUCUAAGACAUGCAAGUCGAACGAGCGAGAGAGAGCUUGCUCUCUUGAGCGAGUGGCGAACGGGUGAGUAACGCGUGAGGAACCUGCCUCAAAGAGGGGGACAACAGUUGGAAACGACUGCUAAUACCGCAUAAGCCCACGACCCGGCAUCGGGUUGAGGGAAAAGGAGCAAUCCGCUUUGAGAUGGCCUCGCGUCCGAUUAGCUAGUUGGUGAGGUAACGGCCCACCAAGGCGACGAUCGGUAGCCGGACUGAGAGGUUGAACGGCCACAUUGGGACUGAGACACGGCCCAGACUCCUACGGGAGGCAGCAGUGGGGAAUAUUGCACAAUGGGGGAAACCCUGAUGCAGCGACGCCGCGUGGAGGAAGAAGGUCUUCGGAUUGUAAACUCCUGUUGUUGAGGAAGAUAAUGACGGUACUCAACAAGGAAGUGACGGCUAACUACGUGCCAGCAGCCGCGGUAAAACGUAGGUCACAAGCGUUGUCCGGAAUUACUGGGUGUAAAGGGAGCGCAGGCGGGAAGACAAGUUGGAAGUGAAAUCUAUGGGCUCAACCCAUAAACUGCUUUCAAAACUGUUUUUCUUGAGUAGUGCAGAGGUAGGCGGAAUUCCCGGUGUAGCGGUGGAAUGCGUAGAUAUCGGGAGGAACACCAGUGGCGAAGGCGGCCUACUGGGCACCAACUGACGCUGAGGCUCGAAAGUGUGGGUAGCAAACAGG